UCCUCCCUGUGUGCUCCCUCCGAGCAUGACACACACGACCAUCAGUCCACCAUCCAAAACACACGGGUCCGUCUGCCUGUAAUCACCAGCCCUCUUCUCUUAUCGCCCCGGGCGUACCCAGCACUGCUCGGUCACACCAUGGGCCAGCUGGCGGUGGAGGCUGUGGAGGAAGCAGGUGUUCCAGAUUUGAGUGGCAGGUGGUGAUCUAUGCAGAUCUAUGCAGCCGGAGUGAACCGCCGGAUAAAUCCAUAACUUCUUAUUACAGCGAGCCGGAAUCCAAAAGGCCAAGUGCAGAAACUGGAGAUUUCAUUUUAUACCAAUUCAAAACCAGGUCAAUUUCCCAGUUAGCAUACGGAUGUGAGCCACUUCAGGCAAUGAUGCGACACUUCUGGCCUUAAUGUGGACUGAACUAAAUGGAUGUGAAUCUAAUGUUGCCCACUGGCAAACUAAAAAUGCGGUGCUCUAGGCAAGGUGUAAUCUGGAUGUGAACCUAAAGUGACCAAUGUAGUAAAUGCUGACAUGUUGUAUUGCUAUGGCUUUCUUGUGGCCCAGAUCUGGUCAAACAGGAGCGGACCGCAAAUGUGCCAUCACUCCACGUUGUACAGUCUGUGGGCUGCAUGUCAUUGUGGCAGUGUGAUAGUGUGGGCCAAAUCUGGGCAAACACAAUUAUGCUAUGUGGGUUCUUUGUACGUGGAGACAUAUUUGGCGAUGAGGCUGAUACUGAUAGAGACUGUAAACAGGGGUAAACAGUUAGCCUAGUGCUAAAAUCCUUAAAGCUCAGCUAAUCACAGGUUAUAUACAGAAACUGAAAUGUAAAAACAAUGAGGGGUUAACUGUUUCCACCUGUUUCCAGUCUUUGUCCUUGGCCAAGUAAGUAAAUCCAUCACAAAAACAAUAGUAUAAUAUUUUGUAAUGGUUUUACCUGCAGUUAUAUUUGUUAUAUUACGUUUGUAAUAACAAUCUGAGUUGACUAGUGAGAAAUAAAGGUGCUGACAGGUGGAUUGUGUUUUCUUUGCCUGUUUAACUGUUUCCCUGGUGUAAGAUAUUCUGCUAGUUUCGUAUGUAAUGUACAGAUGUGUAGUUUUUAUCAAUGUUCAUCAAAAAAGCAAAUGUAUUUUCCUAAAAGGUUGAGUUGUGCGUUUAAUACAUCAAUAAACCUGGAACAAUAGCUGCACCCUUUUCAGC